rnacentral:rRNA from 1 species
UAGGGAAUCUUCGGCAAUGGACGAAAGUCUGACCGAGCAACGCCGCGGGAGUGAAGAAGGUUUUCGGAUCGUAAAACUCUGUUGUUAGAGAAGAACAAGGACGUUAGUAACUGAACGUCCCCUGACGGUAUCUAACCAGAAAGCCACGGCUAACUACGUGCCAGCAGCCGCGGUAAUACGUAGGUGGCAAGCGUUGUCCGGAUUUAUUGGGCGUAAAGCGCACGCAGGCGGUUGAUUGAGUCAGAUGUGAAAUCCCCGGGCUUAACCCGGGAAUUGCAUCUGAUACUGGUCAGCUAGAGUCUGGUAGAGGGGGGGAGAAUUCCAUGUGUAGCGGUGAAAUGCGUAGAGAUCUGGAGGAAUACCGGUGGCGAAGGCGGCCCCCUGGACGAAGACUGACGCUCAGGUGCGAAAGCGGGGGGAGCAAACAGG